rnacentral:rRNA from 1 species
UGGGGAAUAUUGCACAAUGGUCGCAAGCCUGAUGCAGCCAUGCCGCGUGUAUGAAGAAGGCCUUCGGGUUGUAAAGUACUUUCAGUCGGGAGGAAGGUGGUAAGGUUAAUAACCUUGGCAAUUGACGUUACCGACAGUAGAAGCACCGUCUAACUCCGUGCCAGCAGCCGCGGUAAUACGGAGGGUGCAAGCGUUAAUCGGAAUUACUGGUCGUAAAGCGCACGCAGGCGGUUGAUUGAGUCAGAUGUGAAAUCCCCGGGCUUAACCCGGGAAGUGCAUCUGAUACUGGUCAGCUAGAGUCUUGUAGAGGGGGGUAGAAUUCCAUGUGGAGCGGUGAAAUGCGUAGUGAUGUGGAGGAAUACCGGUGGCGAAGGCGGCCCCCUGGACAAAGACUGACGCUCAGGUGCGAAAGCGUGGGGAGCAAACGGG